UCCCAAGAAGACUUUUCCCGCAGGAUGAC
rnacentral:piRNA from 1 species